CAGUAGCCGCGGGAAUACAGAGGAUGCAAGCGUUAUCCGGAAUGAUUGGGCGUAAAGUGUCUGUAGGUGGCUUUUCAAGUCCGCCGUCAAAUCCCAGGGCUCAACCCUGGACAGGUGGUGGAAACUACCAAGCUGGAGUAUGGUAGGGGCAGAGGGAAUUUCCGGUGGAGCGGUGAAAUGCAUUGAGAUCGGAAAGAACACCAACGGCGAAAGCACUCUGCUGGGCCGACAUUGACACUGAGAGACGAAAGGUAGGGGAGCAAAUGGGAUUAGAUACCCCCGUAGUCCCUGUCUCUUAUAC
rnacentral:rRNA from 1 species